GCGCUCACUUCGGCAGCGCAUAUACUAAAAAUUGGAAUGAUACAGAGAUUAGCAUGACUCCUGGGCAAGGAUGAUGGAGAAAUUUGUGAAGGCUUCCAUAUUUUU
ensembl:snRNA U6 U6 spliceosomal RNA